ACAGAAUAUAUGUAUCCUAUCUAAACCUAAUAUCUACAAACGAUUACGCAUUUUAAGCCUACAUAUAGCAAUAUAUUUUGCCUGACAGUUGGUUACAUUUAGGAUCUAGAACUGUACUGUACAUCGAAUAAGCUAUAUCGUUUAAUCCUUCGUUCGAGUGUACUAUACAUUGUUUGCAAGUAGCUGAUGACUCGUUUCUAAAACUACGAUAUCUUCUCGUCGGAUUGUUCAAAAAGCCCAAGCGCCAGAUUUGCCCGAACGUAUGGUACCAUGCAGUGUAAUCUAAAAGUCGCGUGGCAUGUCAUCCGUAAGAUACCUGUAGAGACGAGCUUCUGAUAUUUACAAUUCUACAAAAGCCCGGAUCUACAGGGUAGAUCACGAAUGUGCCUAUCUUAUGCCCCCACUCUUUUCGGCCAUUGUCUCCUCUAGGUAGCGAGAUCUGUAACACAGAAGCCCAGUUUUUACACAUACGUCGAAACCACGAAAGAGAAGGGGAUAGGGUUAGGUUUAGGUUAGAAGGCUCAUUUCCAUGAAUCGCGGUAAUCGAUAGCAAACACGGCGUUGCCCAUCGUUAAAUUACACUCUGAAAAUUGUACAUCGUGUCCAGUCAUUAAAUUACCAUUCAGUGUCACAGGAAGAGUUAUCCUCGAGAUUGAAUACGAAUCGGGCAAUGGUUGCAAUAACUAAGCGAUAGUAAUCGCGAAUUAAUUGCAUGAUACCGAUUGCAAAGUGAUCAAGCGUGCAACGACACGUAGCUACAUAUGAAUAACCGUAUGAGCAUGACUAUAUAAAGUCGGCAGGGAUUAGAAAUUUCGUCCCAGCUACCGAACCGUACGUGACGCCGGAAAACCUUCACUAAAAUCGGACGUGACAUCGCAUGCAUAUCCGGAAUACGACAGAAGGAAGUCGAUGUAUUAUGGUAUUGACAAAAGCCGCAAUCACUUAGUUGCUAACAUAAUGGUACAAAAGUUGAUCGACAAAUAGAGGUCCAAUAAUAGUGUUUCCUCUUCCAUUAAUUUCCAGUGACGUGAAAGAUAGAAAAUUAACAGGAGAUCGGAAUUGAAUGCGUGGAAUCAGAGUGGAAGAAAAAGAGAGGUGGCAGGACACGAAUCAGAAUAACUGAUCAUUGGAAAAUAAGAGGACACAAAACAUUACAUGCUUGUGAUCGUUCGCGCGAGCAACAGGCGGAGCAAACAUCUCGCGUGCAACGCAGCUGUUCAACGACCGAUUAAAGUGCAUAAGCCAAAGACCUAAGAAGAUUAGAUUUCACGAAAUUCCAACGAGUAAAAAUAAGACAGGCAGGCGUGCGCGCCUUCACGUUCACAGAAUCGAGGUCAAAGUAUCGACAUGCUGGGAAUGCUAUUAGAAAAGUGAAACCAUGAAAACGGACAACACGAUCGUUGUAGCAAACCCUGGUUCACAACAGCGGCGCGAUUCGCGCGUUUUCCAGCGUGUAAGGAGCGCGCGAGUGGAAGCGCGGAAGGGCCAACGCCCUUCGAAACGAAACGCAGCGGCCGACUGUCCUUUUUGGCCCCGAGCGGAGAAGGCAUUCGGCGACAAGCGCGAAUCCUCGAGUCGCGGGGCGUCUCUCCCACGGUUGCCCGGCCGAAGCCAGGGGCAUCCCCCGGAUUCUGCGAUGAUUGGACCGCGCGCACCCUCGCCCCACUCGCGACGAGGGGGAUGCCACCGCACAGGGCCGUGGCCAACAAGCCAGGUGCCACAGGCAAAACCCCCGAAAUCAGUAUUGAUAUCGCAUUAUUCGACGCGCGCCCAACGUUUUUUCCCCUGUGACGCGGAUGUUACCGUGCGAGUGGAAACGUUUGCUAGAGGGUGGAUGGCUGUUGGAAAAAUGGGGUGGGAUAAUUUGUGGAUGGGGGUAAUUGGCUUGGGGAGAUGAUGGCUCGAUUGUUGAGAGUAAAAGGGACAAAUGAGACCUGAAAUGUAAUGGGUAAUGUUAGUUUAUAAGUUUCAUUUGGCGUAGUACGAGAGAUGAAAUUAAAAUAGAUGAUGUCUUAAGAACUAGAAACGGAGAAUUCUGUUUUAUGAACAGCGUGUACAUAGGUUUGGAUGUUUGAAGAGAGGACAAGUUUAGGUAUUUUAUUGUGAAUCGUUCACGGGGAAUGUGUAUGAGAAAAAUGCAAUUUUAUGAAGAGGGUAGCCUCAGAUAUUUGAAGAAAAACGUAGCAUCUUAUUAUCGUACAGUUAUAAUUUAUUCUGUGUACAAUUCAAAUGAGCGAUGGUUUCACAACCAUAUGGUAGUCAAUUUUAUUUUAUAAAGAGAAUGUAAAUUUAGAUAUCUGAUGAAAGUAUAGGUUUUAGGUUUACAAUUGUAUAGAACAAGAUCAAAGGUUGUAUUGAGCGUUAAAUUUUAGGAUAAUGAAAAUUGAAUGUUGUAUGGAUAUGUAAUUAAGAGUCACCUGGUAUCGAGUAACGAUUACGUGUACAGAAUUUCUCUUAUGAAAUUCUCGCGCAGAAAUUCAUGCAUUGUAUACGUGUGGCGUGAGCGUGAAGGAAGUUUAUGUGGCUCUGUAUUAAGAGAAAGGGACGCCGAACAAUUUUAUCGUUUACAUGACAAAUUGACAUCGGGCUACACUCGUAUGUCAUCGACAUUGCUAAACGAUUGAGUUUCUCCGAACCGAGUGCUUGUCCUUUAUUCGCAAAUUUUGCUCCAUUAUUCCAUUUCCCCUUGCAAUAUUUAGAUACAUUAAGUUGUGUAUGGAAUGUCCCAUUUAUACUGAUUCAUAUUUCCAUGAAUCUUGAAAAUUCGUUCAUGUAAAUAUUUAAAAAAUGAAUAUCACACAGGAAACAGAAGAUCUUCAACAUUAAAGUGAUACAAAGAUAAAAAUAUUUAUACAUUUAAUAGGAAGAUUGACUAAAUUGGUACAGCAAAAUCGAACGUUUCAUACACCAUGUUACAAUCUAUGCUCUUUAUAUCCAAAAUUCAUUCCUUUUUUCAAUUCCCUCAAGCUAAAUCUCACAAUUAGUAAAAUAAUUAUAGAAAAAUCGUACAAGAUGAAUGUAGUAUGUAGUAGAAAUAUUUAUAUAAAACUGUAUCGUAUUUGUCCUAAUUCUUAUGUCAAUUACAGUUAACAAAUACGGAAAGAGAGGAAGCAGGAGUAAGAAAAAGGUUGUAACAAGUGGAAAGCAUGGAAAAGCGACGCAAGAGAAUUUCUCGAAAGUUGUAUCCAGUUAACACUCGUGCAGAGCAUAAUCACCAGUGGAUACAGCCCUGAGGUCGUUUCAGCUCGGUGGAAAUCGUGCAGCCUCGGCUUCGAAUCCCUGUCAACCGGAUCACAGGCGAAAGGGAGAGGGUAAAAGGCAGGGGCCACCCUUCGUCUCAUCAUCUUUUCGCGCUCAUAGCCGGGCAUAUCUGCUCGGAGCCAGGCCUGUGCUCUCCUCUUCUCGGAGGAAUCGCCUGGAAAAGCUCCGUUUUCCCUCGACCUACCCUCUCCACCCUCGUGUCGCCACCCCCCACCCUCAGCAACAAAGUCUCCCAAUAACGUUAGCCUGCUCCGUUCCUUCUCCGUUCUGGAGCGACGUAUUGAUCGUCUCUCUGCUCUCCUGAAGCCGCGACCGGAGGAGCCUGACGUCCGCCGAGGGAAACGAAGAAUGGAGAGAAAACGCAUCUUCAGAGAGAGAGAGAAAGAGAGAGAGAUGUGAGGGGGUGGCUUGGAUGAAACUGGCUCUGUACAGGCGUAUCUUUGUCGAAACUGCCAGCAGGGAAAAAAUAGAGGACCCACACUGCCAAUGGAAACGGUCACGUCGUCAAGUGGUGCGCGUGCAAAAAGACCAAGGCCAUCUGAUGGUCCGAGGCUGGCAGAAACGAUAGUUCACGGACAGGAGGAAGAAUUUGAGGUUCGAUUAAAGUGGAAAGUAUGGAACUCUGCUGAGACUGCAAGCUGUCUUCAGAGGAAAUUUCAAUAGAAAUCUGGAAAUUGUUAUCUCGCUGAUCAUCUCUAUUAUCUCUGUCAAUACAUUCCAUUUGCAAUUUUUAUUUUCAAUCGAUUUAGAUUAACUUCUUCCUUGCUUCAAUGCUGUGACUAUAAAAGAGAAUUCCGGGAGUUCGUUUAAUAUUUGUUCAUUUGCUAUUUAUUAUAUUUGUUUGCUUGAUCUCUGGACUCUUCCAGUUAUACGUUGAACAUCUUGAAACGCGAGGACUCUCUUUUGUUUCACAAAAUGGAAGCAAGAUUGAAGUAUAAAAAUUGGAAAAAUGGACUACUAGAAAGAAAAAUGUAUAGAUAAAGGUUAAAGUGACAGGGAAAAUAACGUUCUAAUGGUUUCGCGUAGCCUGGUGAAUGAAAAAUAGAAAAGAAUUGCCGAAACGAUGUUAAAUUCAGGUGAAGUAAUUUCCAGCAAUCGAUAUCCAUCAUCAACUUAAACUCUUUUAUCGGAUGAUCUCCAUUAACCUUCUAAUUAACACUGACUACCUUCCAUAAAUCACCCUGCACGCUUUUCCAUCAUCGUACCUACUGCAAUGAAAAUAAAAAUGUUACCUGCUACAUGGCGACACGAUACCAUGCUAUAAAUACAGUGGCAGACAGCGUGAAUUGUCACAAAUAUUCGACGGAUGGCGAAAAACAAGUGGCCGGGAACACGAAAGCCGAUAAGCCUUGGGACGACUUAACUCGAUAAAUCGGCGACACGUCGUUCGCCACGGCGUAACUUCAUCCUCGUAUCAUACGUCACUCAACCAACAUUCUGCCUGUCGUCCUCUACUCACGUGCAAUACGUCUUCUCCGAGUUUACCCACGUAUCGUUGCUUGUGAGGCCUCCGUGACGAAGCUUCUCUCUUCUUCUCUUCCUAACUUCUUCCUUGCACACCGGAAACAUCGGACACACAUUUUUUUUUUAUCUUCACAUUGUUCCAUCGUAUUUGUUGGUCUCUUGACGAAGAGAAAAGCGUCUUCUGAAAUAUGACGAGUAGAACACGUCUUCUUUACUUCUCGUGCAACAAGAAUUAACGAUUAAAUUGUACGCAUGCAUUUGGUUUAUAACACCCAAUAUUCGUCACAUGGAUUGUAGUUUUAAUUCCACGAAGAUAGAAUGUAUUUGUAAGAAAGUUUACUUUGAAUUCUAUUAUAUAUUAGAUUUCUUAAUUAGUGGAAUAUCAAUGAACAAUACAGAAAUUGAAGAAUUGAGUCUUCUGUUGUGUUUGUAAGCAACUUUACGUUUAUAGCUAAUUUUAAAACGUUUCAAACUGAAUAAAUAAUUCCACCAAGAUAAAAUGAAUUUGUAACAAAGUUUACUUUGAAUUCUAUUAUAUAUUAGAUUUUUUAGAUAAGAAAAUAAACAGCCAGUGUUUAGUGGAACAUCAAAACAAUACAGAAAUUGAAGAAUUGAGUCUUCUGUUGUGUUUGUAAGUAACUUCACGUUUAUAGCUAAUUUUAAAACGUUUCAAACUGAAUAAAUAAUUCCACCAAGAUAAAAUGAAUUUGUAACAAAGUUUACUUUGAAUUCUAUUAUAUAUUAGAUUUCUUAGAUAAGAGAAUAGACAGCCAGUGUUUAGUGGAAUAUCAAAACAAUACAGAAAUUGAAGGAUUAAGACUUCUGUUGUGUUUGUAAGUAACUUUAAGUUUAUAGCUAAUUUUAAAACGUUUCAAA